UAAUACAGAGGGUGCGAGCGUUAAUCGGAAUUACUGGGCGUAAAGCGCACGUAGGCGGCUUUGCAAGUCGGGUGUGAAAUCCCCGGGCUCAACCUGGGAACUGCAUCCGAGACUGCCUAGCUAGAGUAUGGGAGAGGGAAGCGGAAUUUCCGGUGUAGCGGUGAAAUGCGUAGAUAUCGGAAGGAACACCAGUGGCGAAAGCGGCUUCCUGGACCAAUACUGACGCUCAUGUGCGAAAGCGUGGGGAGCAAACAGGAUUAGAUACCCUGGUAGUCCACGCCAUAAACGAUGAGAACUGGAUGUCGGAAGGGUCUGCCUUUCGGUGUCGUAGCUAACGCGUUAAGUUCUCCGCCUGGGGAGUACGGCCGCAAGGUUG
rnacentral:rRNA from 1 species